rnacentral:rRNA from 1 species
UACGGGGGGGAGCAAGCGUUGUUCGGAUUUACUGGGCGUAAAGAGCUCGUAGGCGGUGUGUCACGUCGGCCGUGAAAACCUGCAGCUUAACUGUGGGCGUGCGGUCGAUACGGGCAUCACUGGAGUUCGGCAGGGGAGACUGGAAUUCCUGGUGUAGCGGUGAAAUGCGCAGAUAUCAGGAGGAACACCGGUGGCGAAGGCGGGUCUCUGGGCCGAUACUGACGCUGAGGAGCGAAAAGCGUGGGGGAGCAAACAGG